ensembl:lncRNA
AAAAAAAAACACUACCUAAAAAAUAAAUAGAAAUCAAAACAAACAAAUAAAAAGGUAGUCCAUCAAAGUGAAGUGUAACAGAGUUACGGCAUGACGUGAGUUUGAUUUAGUGGUAUCCAGUUACCGCUGCGGGUAACUGGCGCUUUCCUACAGCAAUCCUCCUUUUCUUUUUUUUUUUUUUCAAUUUUUACAUAAUUUGAAUGCUUUUGAAUACUGGCACCCUACAGACCACAAAGCGUGAGAAACUGCAUGGGAACCAACAGCACACACUGCCUCACGCCAUCCUUGUAACAUUGUCCAGCUGGCUUUGUCAGAAAGAAAAACAGGAAAGUAAUUCCUCAGCCUGCUAGAGGCCCUUCUCUGGGGACUUCUGGGUUUUUUUUCUUUCCCUGUUCUGUUUAUGCGGUUAUAAUUUAAUAUUAGUAAAAACAGUCCUACUGCAGGGUCUCCUGAGCCCAAGGGAUAACACAGGAGAACGUGAGCUGAAGGCUCCCUAUGGCAGAGAAGGGAAAAUUAAAUGAAGGUCUCCUUGAUCCUGAGGACAUCAGCUCAGUGAGCAUUGAUGGGAACACCAUGCUGUUUGUGAUUCUCCACCCCUAGUCAAAAAAAACUUGUUCUCAGCACAGCUUUUGAAAGAACCUGGCACCUUUGCAUUCUGGACAAUGGAUGGAGGUAACAAGACGGAGCAUAAGCAUUAUCUUCUGUCAGGAGCAGACUGCUGGAGCUGAUGCUGGCUGGUAAUUCAAGUUGCACUUCUGCUGUGCAACUGUAAGGUGAAGGAGACAUUGUGAAGAAACCGAAAAGAUGGGUAAAAGACACAGAAAUAUUUCCCUCUGAGAAGCUGCUUAGAGCAAGCAAGGAGCUGAAGCAGUAGCUGGCAUAGGUCAAGAUGGUGCUGCUGAAUCAGUUGCUGCUGAGGGAAAAUAACAUGGUUCCCACUGUGUGUGCUAUCUAUGUCUUGGGAUACUUCUGUGAAGGAGAAAAGUUGUGAAUCUCCAGGUACUUCUGAUCAUUUCACAAGUGCAUGUCCUUUAAGGUGAAGAGGGACCAUUAGUCUCUGACCAUGCUUCAAGUGGGUCACAGAGUCUCAUGAAGUUACCGGUGCAACAAGGCAUAUAACUUGCAAGUUAGGAAUAAGACAAAACAAGUCAGCUAGAAUGAAAGCCCUGGGGUGUUACUGCUGCUGCAUCCAUGGAGGGCAGAGGAAUGUGCUCAGAGACUGCCCAGCCAGCACUGGCCAUGCGCUUGCUUCUCUUCUGGCCCAGGCAAAGGUCCUGGCCAUCCUCUUUAAAGUAUCCCUAAGUAUGAGAGGAGCAGUGCUGCCAGGAAUAUUUGCUUGUGAAGCGGUUAUAAAGUGGAAAAUGUUAUCUUAAUGAGCUCUUUCAGUCACCAAAUGCUAGUAAAGCGGAAUCUUUCAG